CGAGUUGUGUAAGAUUAAAAAAACCGAUAUCAUGUCGUACACUGGCGCCAUAGGUUUGAAAAGUUGGAAGCAAUAUGGCGACGUGCGUAUACAAGACGGCGCGACCAAUAGGAGUAGAGAGAGAGAAAGAAUACGGUGCCUGGGAGAAGACGCGCGCCGUUUUCUCGAUUAGGUCACGACACUCCCUCUAUAAUGAUGCGAACGAUGCGUGCGAAGAUAUCGAAAUUCACACGGAAAAAAUAUUUUGAAGAAGAUGAUCAAUGACAUUUGACAAUGGAAGUAGAAGACAUCGCGAUUUAAGAAUAAAUAAAAAGAAAGGAAAAGGGUUAGUAAAUAAAAAGGUAAGUUUUUGCAGGGUAAAUAAAAAAAAGUAUCUAAACAAGAAUAUCAUAUGGAAGAAUAAGCGUAAGAAAGUAGUAAUGCGUAGAGACACGAACAGAGGGCAGGUGUAUCGCUUUAUGGGGAUCGGUUGAUCGUAUACGGCGAGGAGGAGAAAGAGAGAGAGAGAGAAAGUAGACUAAAGAGGAAGAGUGGGAGGAAAGAGAGAUAGAGAGAGAGAGAGAGAGAGAGUCAUGAAGCGAAUGAGCAUGGUUAGAAAGAGAGCGAAAGAGAGGGAUAGAAUAUAACCUAUAUCCGUAGUGUGUCUCGGCCGGUGCGUUGUCGUCGUUACGUUCUCCGUGCCUCCUCCCCCGACGGGUGGCGGUCGGGUAGAGAGAUCGCUGCUGCCCUUAACGUCGGAUUUUAAUCUCGUUAAAGACAGUGGGUAUAAUGUGUGGAAACACGUGUUCUAUCACAGUGAGAAAAGAUUAGAAAAGAACUAAGAAGUAGUAGAAGAAGAAGAAGAAGAAGAAGGAGGAGUGAAUUGAGAAAAGGUGGUGACGAUAGAAAGAAGAAGAAGAAGAAGGGAGUUGAGUGCGUGAAUGCGUUGAUGCGUCGCUGCCGUCGUCGUCGUCGUCGUCGGGAGGAGCAACGAUCGUCGUCGUCUUCGUCGUCGUCGUCGACGUUGCUGUUGUGUUGUCUUCGUCCUCUUCGUUUUUCUUCUUCCACGUUGAGUGAUAGAUAGAAUAGUUUAGGUUACCGUCAAGCGGGGGAGAGUAUCCUCCUCGUUAGUGUUCGCGCUGAACGAGGAGAGGGAUUAAAAAGAAGAAAAAGAAAAAAAAGAAGAGGGAGAGAGAGAUAAAAGAAGAAGAAGGAGAAGAAAAAGAGGAAGCAAAAGCGGUGCUGAAGAAGUGCCGCCGUGGUGUCCGUGCUGGUGGUGGUGGUCGUGGUGGCGGUGGUGGACGUGGUGCGACGAGUGUUGUUGGUGCCGGUGGUGCAAGAAGAAGAAGAAGAAAAAGAAAGAAAAGAAGAAGAAGAAGAGGAAAAGCGUUAUAAAAAGGGAGAAAAGGUGCUGAAAGUGGUGGUUGUUGUGUUGUUCGAGGAGCUCGUGGUGCAAAAAAAAAAAAG